GACAGAGGAUGCAAGCGUUAUCCGGAAUGAUUGGGCGUAAAGCGUCUGUAGGUGGCUUUUUAAGUCCGCCGUCAAAUCCCAGGGCUCAACCCUGGACAGGCGGUGGAAACUACCAAGCUGGAGUACGGUAGGGGCAGAGGGAAUUUCCGGUGGAGCGGUGAAAUGCGUAGAUAUCAGGAGGAACACCGGUGGCGAAGGCGGGUCUCUGGGCCGUUACUGACGCUGAGGAGCGAAAGCGUGGGGAGCGAACAGG
rnacentral:rRNA from 1 species